rnacentral:siRNA from 1 species
GAAAAAUGUUUUGUUCCUCCUCCA